GCUUACGGACAUACCACCCUGUCUGCGCCUGAACUCGUCUGAUCUCGGCAGCUAAGCAGGGUCGGUCCUGGUUAGUACUUGGAUGGGUGACUACCUGGGAAUGCCAGGUGCUGUAAGCU
rnacentral:rRNA from 1 species